AGACACCUGGUCUCCAUAAAGGCUUAGGGCCAGGUGAGGAGCAGAGGGGGUUUGUUUCCUGUUUUGCCUGAGUGUGUUGUUGGAGCCUCACCAGGAUAUGAAGAGCUGCUGGGGAAGAAAGAAGGAAAAAGCUCAAAGAACACCCCAAACUGCUCCCAUCACCUACAGUUCCUGCAGGUUUAGACAAUAACGUUUGUGUUAAAGUUUGCAUAAAUAACAGAUCCAGAAAUGGAUAAUGGCUGAUGAGGCCUCCUUCCUUCCACAGAUAGCGUGAGGGACCCAAUUCUCAGCCUUCAUAAACCAACCCAUCUCCACUGAUGUCUGUGCAGUUCUGCUGGUUUUCAUCAGCUUUGACUUUAUCUUCUGACCUUCUGGAUCUUCUGUUCUUUUACAUCAGGUUCAAGCUUGUUCCCUGACCUUCAAAGUUUGACAAAGCUCCACUUGGACCUUGAUUUCUUUCCUUAUCUCAUCUGAACCCACUUGCAAGAAGUGAUGUUACUGUGCUUGGUUCAAGAAUCACCUGGGAUUCAUGAUAACAAAUCAGUGACUUCAGAACAACACUCCUCCCAGAGCCUUGUACUUGAAGCAUUGAUUUUUGCUUCCUAUUACCAUAGCAACAAGAGUCUAUCUCUUCAGAAACUAGCCAGUGGAAACCACAAA